rnacentral:rRNA from 1 species
UGCAAGUCGAGCGGAUGACAGGAGCUUGCUCCUGAAUUCAGCGGCGGACGGGUGAGUAAUGCCUAGGAAUCUGCCUGGUAGUGGGGGACAACGUUUCGAAAGGAACGCUAAUACCGCAUACGUCCUACGGGAGAAAGCAGGGGACCUUCGGGCCUUGCGCUAUCAGAUGAGCCUAGGUCGGAUUAGCUAGUUGGUGAGGUAAUGGCUCACCAAGGCGACGAUCCGUAACUGGUCUGAGAGGAUGAUCAGUCACACUGGAACUGAGACACGGUCCAGACUCCUACGGGAGGCAGCAGUGGGGAAUAUUGGACAAUGGGCGAAAGCCUGAUCCAGCCAUGCCGCGUGUGUGAAGAAGGUCUUCGGAUUGUAAAGCACUUUAAGUUGGGAGGAAGGGCAUUAACCUAAUACGUUAGUGUUUUGACGUUACCGACAGAAUAAGCACCGGCUAACUCUGUGCCAGCAGCCGCGGUAAUACAGAGGGUGCAAGCGUUAAUCGGAAUUACUGGGCGUAAAGCGCGCGUAGGUGGUUUGUUAAGUUGGAUGUGAAAGCCCCGGGCUCAACCUGGGAACUGCAUUCAAAACUGACAAGCUAGAGUAUGGUAGAGGGUGGUGGAAUUUCCUGUGUAGCGGUGAAAUGCGUAGAUAUAGGAAGGAACACCAGUGGCGAAGGCGACCACCUGGACUGAUACUGACACUGAGGUGCGAAAGCGUGGGGAGCAAACAGGAUUAGAUACCCUGGUAGUCCACGCCGUAAACGAUGUCAACUAGCCGUUGGGAGCCUUGAGCUCUUAGUGGCGCAGCUAACGCAUUAAGUUGACCGCCUGGGGAGUACGGCCGCAAGGUUAAAACUCAAAUGAAUUGACGGGGCCCGCACAAGCGGUGGAGCAUGGUGGUUUAAUUCGAAGCAACGCGAAGAACCUUACCAGGCCUUGACAUCCAAUGAACUUUCCAGAGAUGGAUUGGUGCCUUCGGGAACAUUGAGACAGGUGCUGCAUGGCUGUCGUCAGCUCGUGUCGUG